rnacentral:rRNA from 1 species
GACUAGCUGAGAGAGGUGCAUGGCCGUCGUCAGUUCGUACUGUGAAGCAUCCUGUUAAGUCAGGCAACGAGCGAGACCCACGCCAACAGUUGCCAGCUCGUCCUCCGGGGAUGGUGGGGACACUGUUGGGACCGCCUCUGCUAAAGAGGAGGAAGGAAUGGGCAACGGUAGGUCAGCAUGCCCCGAAUUAUCUGGGCUACACGCGGGCUACAAUGGGUGGGACAAUGGGUAUCGACACCGAAAGGUGAAGGCAAUCUCCUAAACCCAUCCGUAGUUCGGAUUGUGGGCUGCAACUCGCCCACAUGAAGCUGGAAUCUGUAGUAAUCGUGUCUCAAAAUGGCACGGUGAAUAUGUCCCUGCUCCUU